GAGGGUAUAGCUCAGUGGUAGAGCAUGUGCUUAGCAUGCAUGAGGUCCUGGAUUCAAUCCCCGGUAUCUCCA
rnacentral:tRNA from 1 species